rnacentral:rRNA from 1 species
ACNUGGGGANUUGCCAAUGGGCGCAGCCUGCAUGCAGCCAUGCCGCGUGUGUGAAGAAGGCCUUCGGGUUGUAAAGCNCUUUCAGUCGGGGANGAANGCNAUNUAGGUUAAUANCCUUNUNGAUUGACGUUACCCGCAGAAUAAGCACCGGCUAACUNCGUGCCAGCAGCCGCGGUAAUACGGAGGGUGCAAGCGUUANUCGGAAUUACUGGGCGUAAAGCGCNCGCAGGCGGUCUGUCAAGUCCGAUGUGAAAUCCCCGGGCUCAACCUGGGAACUGCAUUCGAUACUGGCNGGCUAGAAUCUUGUAGAGGGNNGUAGAAUUCCNGGUGUANCGGUGAAAUGCGUANAGAUCUGGAGGAAUANCGGUGGCGAAGGCAGCNCCCUGGACAAACACUGACGCUCAGGUGCGAAAGCGUGGGGAGCAAACAGGAUUANAUACCCUGGUAGUCCACGC